UCGGCCAAACCAAGACCAAAGAAGAACAAAAGAAGAAAAGGAAGAAAACAAAACUUAGGUGGAAAAAUUCAAAGAAAAAGUGUGAAAAUUUAAUGAAACAAGUGAAAAAAAGGUAAAAUUUUUCAAUUAAGCUUGAGAUCUUUCUUUCCCAUGCAUUUCUCCUCAUUUUUCAUGAUUAAAUUACAUGUUUUCAUGAUGAAUUCAUGGCUGGUCGGAAUGGGUAUGGAGAGAGAAUGAUGUUAGAUUGAUUUGAUUUUGAGUUAUGUUGGUGUUUAGAGUUAGUUAAGCAUGUUUAGAAAUAAAACAACAAGAAAAAAAAUUCAUUUUCCCCAUGAACCUUCAAUGGCCGAGCCCUAUGUGAAGUGUAGAAGUAAUGAAUUGAUUUUGUGAUCAAGUGAAUUGGUUGAAAAGUGGAUGAAAUGAUGAUUUAUGGUGAGAAAAUAGAAUGAAAAAAUUUUUAGUGAUAGUGCACCACAUUGGCCGAAAUUUUCAAGAAGAAUUGUGAGGGCUGUUAGGUUGAAUUUUAGAUGAUUAGAAUUGUAUUUAGUGAAUUGAAAUAUUAGAAAUGAAAUGGAGCAAUUUGGAGCAAAAUCGGACACAAUUGUCAUUUAAUUGGGUAAUAGGUCAAAUUAUGUCAACACUGCAUUUAAGCGGUAGUCGGAUAAGUUGCAUAUCAUAUCAUGCAUAUACAUCGAGCCUGAAUUGAUUUUAUAAUGGUUAAACGUUAAUGUGGUAAAUUAUGUAUUGUACAUUGUGGAUAAGUGGUGAGCAAAUUACACUGGUAAAAGUACAGAGAUUGUACUUGAAGACUGAGAUUAAGAGUACAUUGACUCCUAGAACUGUGAGUAACCUUAUCAUCAUUUUAAUUAUCUAAAGUAUGUUUUAACUCGGUUUUGGUGAAAUUUUAUGAAAAUGAGUUAAAUGGUAAAUUUUAGGUUUUAUAAACAAAAAUGUAUUUAAAUGAAAAGAUUUUAUAAAUUGUCUUGAAACGAAAUAACGAUUUUGAAAAUAGAGUAAUUGGAGACCACUGGUAUGUUGUAAAUUUAUGAUUGAAAAUUGUGGCUUAUGUUAUAUUGUUAUUGUGUUGGCAUGACUGACUGGGUUGUGUUUUAUGAAUUGUAUGAAUUGUUUUAUUUUAACAUUGCUGGCUGGAUAGUAAAAUAUUAACCUUGUCAUGUCAAAAUUUUAUUGUAUGGUGAGUAUUGCUUGCUGUAGUGGGCUGGGUUCUGUGGACUAGCCUAUUAUAGGGGCAUGAAAUUCUGACAUAUUUUACCUCGGUUGGAGAGGCGAGUAGGGUAACUCUCGAGGUAUAACUUUAGAGUUCACUUCACGCUAAACCACCACGUGAGGGGGAACUCAGCCAUUGUCAAGGAACGACUGUGUUUUCUAAAUCAAAACAUGAUUUAUGAGUAUAUAACCUUUUAAUAGCCUUGGCAGACUCGGUUUGGG
rnacentral:lncRNA from 1 species